rnacentral:rRNA from 1 species
GGGUUCUGCCGUUGGUCAGGCAAUAGUCUGUACUGGCGUGUGGAAUUUCUACCUUCUGGGGAACCAUCAUGUUAUUUAUUUAGCGUGGUGGGAAACCAGGACCUUUACCUUGAAAAAAUUAGAGUGUUCAAAGCAGGCUUACGUCUGAAUACAUUAGCAUGGAAUAAUAAAAUAGGACGGUGGUCCUGUUUUGUUGGUUUCUGAAUCACCGUA